rnacentral:lncRNA from 1 species
CAUCCUUCAUCAGUCACCACACCAAAAGAGUUCCCUUCCUGCCGUGGUCUGCUGUUCCCCCCCAAUGAGGAUCCUCAUUCACAUGUCCUCCAUCUAAUCAAGGAUUUUCAUAGUAACAGCUCACAAAAACUGAAGACCCAGACAUUCAGACAGACAGCCAGAGACAGACAGAGCAAGCCUGACAGCCAGAACCAGACAACCAGCCAGAGCCAAACUGCACCAGAGAGUCAGCCAGAGCCAGCCUGCCAGAGCCAGACAGCCAACCAGAGCCAGCCGGAGCAAGCAGGAGACAAACAGCCAGCCAGAGCCAGACUGCACCAGACAGCCAGCCAGAACCAGACUGCACCAGACAGCCAGCCAGAGCCAGACUGCACCAGACAGCCAGCCAGAGCCAGACUGAACCAGACAGCCAGCCAGAGCCAGACUCGGCAGAGGGGGAUGAAACACAUGGUAAUACCUCAUCCCAGCGUGACAGAAGACCGUGAGAAGAAAACAGAGAGAGUGACAAAGAAUGACAGAGAAAUAGAAACAGAAGGGCGAAGGGAGACGGGCGGAUGAGAGGAGAAAUGGGGGUAGACAGAGACACACAAAGAGGGGCACAACGCUAUUUCAGUCGUUCCCCCACUGCCACUGUCAUCAUGGGUAAGGAUUCAGUCACUCCGAAUGGCUUGACACAACACUGUUUUAGAGGACUCUGUGAUCACAGCAUGUCAUGUGCUCAGGGGGAUCACAGUGGCACACGCACUCAGUCACAGACACAAACACGUGCAUUAAACAAACCCCAAAACCAAAACACACACAUCAGCGCACCCAGAGUACUCAGAUAGACUCACACACAAACACAGAAGCAACACAGUUCUUCAUGUGUCGACGGAUUGUAAAGGGAACCAUUUAACCAGUUACCAUCCUCAGAACCUCAAGGAGAUUAUAAUAUAAUCGAUGUUCUGACAAACAACCUGGAGUUGUAAGAUGCUAGAAUUGAGAAAGUCAUUACAAACCUGGGCACUAUACUUCAACUUUAUGAUAUAGACUCAUCCAGACUGAUAGUUUAGAGCAUAUAACACUACUAGCUCUUACACUAAAAGUUGUUGAAUCGAAUCUCCAAGGCGGCGAGGUGAAAGAAUCUGUAAUUCUGUCUCUAAUGUCAUUUUUAUGUUAGGAAACAUUUUCCAAGACAUAUGGAAAGAGACUUGAAAUGCAAGGUUAUUUUGUUAUGCAAACUAGCAGAUGUCGUUAGCUUGAGAUGCCACCUUCCCAGGUAGUGCGCGCCACGUUUACGAUAGAGCCUCCCCCGGAGGUUUGCAAGUGUGAAGACAAUCGUGUCGGCAUUCAGUUUCUGUGUGGUGUUCACGCAUAUCGCUUGAUUUUUUUCAGAUUGAUGUCUAUACUACUUAAAUUAUACUACUGUGGAAAUGAUUAUGCCAACUAAGAUCUAAAUGUAAGAACUAAGUCUAUCUAGCUAUUCUAUAGUCUCUCUCGUAAUGCAAAUUAGCCCUAAGCAAUGCAGUUAGCCCACAUUGCUCCCAGGUCAUGUUUGUAACUACCAUUUGUUCCGUCAACUUGAAACUGCCCAAAAUAAUAAUAAUUGAGAAUCAGUCAUAUCCAUUCAGGCCACCACGAUUGUCUUUUCAUGAUGAAGGGGAUAUUGAAAACAUAACAAAGCUUAUUGACAGAGAAUAUUUUUUUAACCAAUGCUAAGCAAUUCAUAGCAGAUUUCUUUAAACGUAACAUUGGUUCUACAGACACAGUCAUAGUACAGUAUGGAACUUUAUUGAGCGCUCAUUACAAUCCCCAAAACAAUUAGGAUCAGAGAAGAAACAACUUAACUGAGAAAAACAAACAUUACGAAUCACCUGUGCUGACAAGUCUUCCACAGAUGCACUGACUAUUGUAUAAGCAAAGAACAAUAGGUUGAGGGAAUUAUUCUGCAAGGAUUAGGGUUCAUAUACCUGAAGAACAGUGAUAAUUGGGUGGAGAAAACUAAAACAAAUCUACUCAAUUCUUCCAAACCUGAAAGGGAGAAAUGCAUCAAAUGUAAUAUUUAAUGAAAUGUUCUUGGUUCGUGAUUUUCAAACGUAAUCUUAUGCCCCCACAAAAAAAUGAAAACCUAAUAUCCCACAAGAGGAACUGCGGUAUGUAAAUUAGGUCUUAAAAACCCCUGGCCUCAAUGGUCUUCCAAUAGAGUUAUAUAAAAAUGUUGUCUACUUAUCUAUAAACUAAAAACUGUCUGACCUACAGAGGGUCUAAUUUCUUAAUGAAAUGUAAAGCAAGAGCAUGUAAAGACCCUGCUUAUGUAUCUAAAUGUAUUUUUAAACAAUGUGGUUUAAAUCCUUAUUGCUGAUUGGCUGAUAGCUGUGGGAUAUGAGACUGUAUCACAUCACUUUUCACUACUCUAAUUGCAUUGGUAAUAACAGCAAUAAGGCAUCUUGGGGGUUUGUGAUAUACAUCCAAUAUAACAUGGCUAAACGCUGGCACCAUAACACACCUCCCCCCGGCUGUAUAUAUAAACCAUCAGCAUUCAAUGUUGCAAUGCAAAGAUAUUGUCUAAAUUUAGUUCACACAGAAUCAUAAAGAUCAUACUAGACAUUAUUGACAAAGAAUCAAUUAAUAAGUGCCUGCUUCAGACUCAUCUACAAUAUGCAUUUAUCUAGAAUAGUAAGGAAUGGCUAUAUCUCCCUUUGAAGUUUCAAACCAGGCAGUCCUUUAGCAUAUCUAUUUAUUUAAAAAAAAUAAUACUUGACUGUUUGCCACCAAUCAAAAGCCAGGCAUGUCACAAAAUGACUAAUGUAAACCAUCAAAUGUACACUUUUCAAUUUAAGGGCAAUAGGUUUGACAGCUAUGCCCUAAACAAUUCAACUCUGUUGGAAACAUAUCUUUGAUGUACCAGUGCCAUGACAGCUGGUUUAUAAAACAUAAAAUUACAACCGACACAUCCAUCCGUGCAUUUCACUUUUGAAUAUAUAAGAGUAUUCUAUAUAUAGAGAGUAUUCGCUGCGAUGAGAAUGCUCUGCGUUCUGUGAAAUGAACAGUAUGGACUUUGCAGACUUCUAAUCAUUGGAUCAUCUGUUCUGAUACAGUCCAUCAGUAACUGGAAGGGUUAACCUGUUGGGGCGGGUUUGUUGCAGGUCGUGGGUUUUCAUGGGGACAAGAAAAGAGAGCAAAGAAAAAGAGAGGUGAUAGAAAUCAUGUUAGAAAUGAAUUGCAAUUUUUAAGCAGAUCUAGCCCCCGAACAAUAAACAAUAAAAGCAAAACCCUGUCGUGAGAUUAGGAUACAAGGGCUUUUUCAGACAAAGCAAUCUGAACAGUAGAGCCCAGGAUUGCAAUGUAUGAGACAUUUUUGUAGUGCUCCAGUAUUGCUGUUAACAUUGAUGAUGAUUAUGAGUUCAUGUGCUGCAUGGAACAUCAAAAGGGAUAUCCCCGAUUUGCUCCCACCUUGUGGAAGUUGGCUGAAUUACAGCAACAGUUGCUUUCAAAGGAAAUCCCCUCCCAUCAGCCAGUACCUAUUUUGCCUUAAGGACUCCUUACACUGUUCAUUGCUUGUUUUUUUUUUUCACUUGAAAGGAAACUGAGUUAACUGUGUAGAGUUUUGGCAAACAGAAAAUGGGGAGGAAUUAUGCUUGACUCUGACUGCCAUCACAAGUUUGCGGAUAGAUUAUAAUUUGUCCUAGUGAGGCCAGUUUAAGAGAGAGAGAGGGUGCCACUUUUCCAUUUUACAACAGAAUACAGAGCACCUUUAGUUAAACAAUAGUAAUUCUGUAUUUUGGGACGGGCCUUUGAAUGUACCCAAAAUAACUUCUGGGGAGUGAAUGUUGUAAAUGUAACUAUAAUAAUAAUCUUUAUUUACAGAGCACUUUCGAAAUCAUGUUAUAAAGUGCUUCACAAUGCAAGGACAGUAAAAUAAACAUAAAGCAAAUUACAAGAUACAUGAUAAAAGCAAGAACACUACUUAAGAAAUUAAAAUACAGUUAAAAAAAAUAAAAAAUACACUGCGGAUAUAUUUUUGGCAUUUACCUAUUACAUGAAUCUAUUACAAUAGAACCACAAACAUAAUGCCCCUUGAAUGCAUAUGAAGACGUGUAGCCUAUUGUUGUUUUGUAUGUAUUUCAGUCUCUUCCUGUAGACGAGUAACAGAGGCUGCUGCCUUGGCUCUACUUAGGUUUUUUUUUUUUACAAUUGCUAACAAGCGUUAACCUGUAAUUAAGAUACCCUUUCUUAACUCUUAACACAGCAACACAUCUACACCACCUCUGCAUUUCUAAAUACGAAAACAAAUUCUUCAUACAUUAGCUCUGUCCAAACAGGGCAAACUCGACUCAGUAUCUGAUCAUUCUGUCAAAACACUAGCACAUGUUUUCUAAAAGGAACAUUAUAGUCAGUCAAAGAGCAACGACAUUCAAAAAACUCAGUUGAUAGCAUUCCAAAAAUGGCAUUACUUUUUAUGUUUCAGUUCUACCUGCAUACAACAGACAAUAUGAGAUCCAUUGUAGUUUACAAUACAGUUUCCUUUUAUUGUAAACCAUCUUUAAAAUGUUUUGGUUCAGGGUCAAAAGUGUUUUUUUUGGCAACAUACUAUCUAAAAGUGAAUGUGUUGCCUUUACUUUAUAAAAUGUACAGUAGAAAAACAUUUGUAAAUGGCAGCAUAGCUGUUAUAAAAGCUAUAUUAGAAAGUUGCUGUCAGUGAUCAACAAAAAAUCCUACAUACAUGACCUUUGGUUCCAAAUGUGUUAAAAUAAAACAUAACUUAACAGUAAAUCAGCUAUUUUUUCAAUGUUGUAAUGCUCUGUUCGUUUAUAAAUGCUUACCAGCUGUUUCAAUAUAGCUUUUGAGCUGCUGUUGUUGUAGAGCCUAGUAGAGCCUUUAUACUAUAUUUACGGUUUUGAACAUUAAGUUUUCAUUUCUGGUAUAUUGUGUGCAAGCAUUUGUAAAUUAGACAAAUCCAUAAUUUUGGUAUUGGGUAAGCUUAUAAUGGUCAUAUGAGUAUGUACAGAAAAUGUUAGCAUUUUAGGAACAUGUUAAAUGACUGUAUAUUCUGUGAAAACAACAUGAAUUAGUAUGGUCCGCAACAAACAGAUGUUGUGCUAAUUGUGUUCAGAGUUCUGAGAAUGCGACUACAGAUUGGUCAAAAGGAUGUUAGUGAUUGUAAAAAAAAAACUGUCAUGAGGAUCCUGAUGAUAUUCUACAGCGUGUAAAACACCUCGUUCAGUGUUUUUAAGAAACCUAACCAAAUGCUGCUGACAACGUUGUUCAAAAUGCAGAGACAAUCCAAUUAUAUUUAUGAAUUCAUCUGACUUUGGCCA